UGUUAAAAAUUUAAUCCAUUUCUAUUGCUAAAAACUUAUGUAGAUGAUGGAAUAACCAAAUAUUUAUACAUGGCGUGUCAUGUGUACCUCAUCCUGACAUAUAGGAGCCAGUUUUUAACAGUUGAAAUGAACGAAAUUUUUAAUA
rfam:Gossypium raimondii Chr04_contig_123, whole genome shotgun sequence.